GGAGAGGUGUCCGAGUGGCCGAAGGAGCACGCUUGGAAAGCGUGUGUGCGGCUUGCCGUACCGCGGGUUCGAAUCCCGCCCUCUCCG
rnacentral:tRNA from 1 species